AGCAGAGACAGGAAGGACAGCUGGAGGGUGUCACCUCCACAUAGGUCCCAGACAGACAGAUAGGAGGAGGUUGAAAGCGGCCCAUUGGGCUCUGUGGGUUGCAGAGGGAGGUGUGCUAGAAGGAAGGAUUUGGGGAAGCAGCUUAUUCUGCCCUUUCCUUCUGGGCUGCAUCCUGGGCUGAGGGUCUUCCCGUGUCAGCCAAGAGCAAAGGGUAGGGAGGCUUUUGGACAGUCAACAUCUUGGGUCUCAGAAAGAUACCUCCUCUCUGGGGACCCCCACUACUCCUCAGGCUCGCUGGGAGGGUGGGCAGCGUGGUGCUUCUAAAACAUGUUUGCAAAUUCUUUAAUAGUCCUCUGGCCAAGAAGUGCAGCCUGUGUUCCUGUCCUUGAACCCAGAUGGACCUUUGUGUGAGUUCUGAGGCUCAGAUAAAAGAGGCCACACUUCUGUGUCCAAUGCCCUUGGAACACUUGCUCUGGGAGCCUCCAUAUAAAAAGUCAGAAUUCAGAGGACUCCAAGUGGAGAAACCACAUGGAAAGACCAGAGAGAAAGAGACAGACAGACAGACAGAGGAGAGAGAGACAGACAGACCCAGAGAGAGAGAGACAGAGAGAGGGAGAAGAGAGAGACAGAGAGGAGGAGAGAGAAGAGAGACAGGGAAACAGAGAUACACACAGAGAGAAAGGAGAGACAGAGUUGGAGAGAGAGAAGAGAGAGGGGAGAGAGAGAGAAACAGAGAUAGAGACACAGAGAAAGGAAAGAGUGAGAGUAAGAGACAGAGAGAUACAGAGUGAGGCAGAAAGAGACAGAAAGAGAUAGAAAAAGAGAAAGACAGAGACAGACACACACAAAGAGAAAAGAGAGACACACAGAGGGAGAGAGAUGUAGGAGAGAGGGAGAGAGAUAUAGGAGAGAGAGAGUGGGAGCUGGCUCAGCUGUCCUGUCCCCACCGCCUGGGGCUGGACCUGUGAGUGAAGAGGUCACUGAGAUGGCCCUGCCCGGCCUCAGUCUCGGCUGCAGCCCCCUGAGAGAAAGCCUGGAUGAGCUCCGCCUGGUCUGAUGGAGACUCUGGCAGGGUCAGAUUCAUUCUGGGAAUGGAAGAGCUCAGGCUGAUUGGGUUGCUGAUGUCUCCAUGGUUACCUGGAGUCACUAGAGAAAGACAGCCUCAUUUGAGUGGGAUUCAGGGUCUGACCAUCCAACUCUGACUGCAUGUGUGACAUGCGCUGCUGCUGUGUGUUUGGCUUUUCCACUCGUGUCCCCAAAAUCUCCACUCCAGCUACUGAAGUUUUAAGAUAUUGAAGACUCAAGCAAUCCCCUUAACAUCAGCAAAAGGCUGGGAUGCAUCCAGGAAGCUAGGCUGUCUUUUUGCCUUGGGGGGAAAACGCCGGAGCCUCCUAAAAUUCAGUGCCUUCCCUCUGAGCCCGGGUUUCGCUGCUGUAGGGAGACUGACAAGAAGGCUAAGGACAGAUGGAAGGAGAAAGCCAUGAGAGACACCGGAAAGUGGAGAAGAUAGGGGAUGCAGGUGUGAAGACUGGAGGAGGAGCGCUGCUGGAGGCGCAAACUGUCGCUUGUGUUUUUGAAAAAUGACUCUCUUCAGAAGGCCUGCUCUGAACACGCCUUCCACAGCACAGGGUGGUGGACAAACAGGCGCCUUCCCAUUUGUCCAGGUGGAGAGGUGACUUCAAAGCUUAGGUGUGAACGUCCCUGUGGAAAGUGGGGCCAUUAAGCCCCAGACAGUGUGAGUGUGACUGGUGACUUGAGUUCACAGCGGUUUGGGUUCCUGUGGCCAUUUCCUUUAAUGACACAUUUGCCUUAUGAAUUGUUAUCUGUAAUUUCUGAGGAGACAAAGACAAAAGCGGAAGUAGUUGGUUCCAAAGAUUUAACCAUUUCUUCCAUUUCUCAGUGUUCAUGACUUCACGAAUCAUGAGGAAGAGGAGAGGACAUGGAAGAGAUGGCAAGACAGCAGGUCCUCCGGCUGUGCAGUGGGGAGGGCAAAGCGGGGCGCACGGCGAAGAGGACCAGCCAGGCCCGGAGCCCCAGGCAGCGCCUCACCCAGCUGGGGUAGGAAGCACAAGGGCAGGAGCAGAGAGCCUGCUUCCAAUGCUGCUGGUUUGCCCUGAGUUUCAAAGUCCACGACCCAGGACUGGCUGACUUCGUGGGAGGAUUUAACCAAGAAGAAAAACUGGAAUUUUGAGAUUCCAAAGCCUUCCACGAAACUCCUUGAAUAUAUUUGUAUGGAUGUGCUACUCAAAGUUUAUAUGAUUUUUGACCCAAUAAUUUCAUUUUCCUAUACCCAGAUGAUUCCCCCAGAGAGAGCAUAAGAGGAAAACAAAUCAGAAGGUCCAGUGGAGAGCUUCUACCCUCAUUACCAGCUCCAGGGACGGGGAUCUGCACCUGGAGUGCAAGAUCCACGAAUGUGCCUGCAUGCUGUAUACAAUGGUAGAAAAUAAAGAAGGCCAUCUGCAUGUCCCAAGUUAAAUACAGCAUGGCCCAGCCACACUGGGAUACAUGUAGCUUUAAAGAGAAGUAGUCUCUUUUGCCAUCUGCCCAUUGAAUUGAAGAGAGUCACCAUUGAAGAUGUGGAGCUGCCCAGUGAGUGGGUCCAGGAAUCCCUGCUGGGAGGUGAAUCACCCAAACAGGAGCGCCCACAUGGAUGGAGAUACGCACAAGAGGUAAACUUUUAUUUUGUUUAGCUGUGGAGGCUAGGAUUUGGUUAUUACAGCAGCAGCUAGUAUACCUUCAAUAGUAUAUACGGUUUAGUAUAAUCUGAUUCAAAUAUCUGUGCAUAAGUGUGUGCAGUUAUGGAUGUAUGUUGCCAUACGCACUUUUCAUUCUCUUAAUUGGGUAGUCAGAAUUCUUCAAUGUGUCUGCAUAACAAACUAUUCCAAAACUUAGAAUCAUAAACAAUAAGCAUUUCUGAUCUCUCGCAGUUGCUGUGGGUCAGGAAUUUGAAAGCAAUUAGCUGAGCGGUUGGGGCCGCUGUCUCAUCUAAAGGUAUGAAUGGGGCUGGAGGUUCCACCUCCCAAGCAGUUCCUCAUACAGCUGGGCAGUUGGUGCUGCUUGUGUGUGGGAGGCAUGCAGACCUCUCUGCCGGGCUGCUUGAGCGUCCUUAUGGCAUGGCAACUGGCUUCCUCCAGAGUGAGGAAUCCCAGAGAGAGCAAGGCAGAAGACUCAAUGUUUUAUGAGCUAGCCUUGGAAGUCAGGCACAAUCAUGUUUGUGAUGUCUGUUGAUGACACUGGUCAGCCCUAUUCAAUGUGGGACAGGACUACACAGAACAUGAAGAGGGAGAGGCUGGCUACCAUAGGGAAGUCACAAUAGAAAAACACCUUGAUCUGAAUCUCAGGGUGGGGCAUGGAAACGGAAAGGUUUAAGCAAAAUAAACAAAGUGAAGAACAGGCUCAGCUGCUCUUAACGGGAGCGGUGAUGCAGGCUUUUGUAUACCGAGUGAAGUCACACAGGGAGAGGAGUCACAAGGAGGGUUGCAGAGGUCAGCAAGGCUGUGGUGGACAUCUGUGGACACGGUGACAGAGUGAGCCUCAGGGCUGCUCAGUGAAGGCCAGAGAUGGUAUUGCAGAAUCAGGAGCCCAGCACAGAGAUAACCAGGACAGCAAGCCCACAGACUGCUGAGUGAUUCGGGAAUUGAUCCUUCCCUCAUCUCCAGGGAGCUGGAGCAGAAACCAAUGGUGUAUUUGUGAUGGGGAUGGUGGGUCUCACUCUCAGGUAUCAUGUGGAAGGAGAAAGAGGCUGCUCCUUUAGACUGCACUCAUAUCUGAGUGGGUCAUCCUCUAGGCUUUGGAGAUUCAGGUACCUGCUACCUGCUGUGUCCAAGGACUCCCAAGUGAAGGGUUCGUGAUUCCCGGGUUUGGGGGUGGUGCACAGGAGAAAAUGUCAGCAUUUUCAUUUUCUCUCUAAAAACCAGGAACCCUGCCCUGUGCUGAUACUGAGUGUGCACCUGCCCUCCGGCAGCCCCUGUUUUUCCCAAGCCCUGUGACUACUCUCCCCAUCAUGUAAGGGACAGAUAGCUUAAUAAUACUCCUGCCAAGAGAUGGCAGAAUAAAGAUUCUAUUAAUCAUUUCUCUGGCAAUGAGACAAUGGCAGAGCCGACACUGUAGAUCUCACUGGAGCCCCACGCACAUGACAAGAGCAAGAAACUGUUUGAAAGAGAGACUGACACCAGCAUUGUCAACACAAACCAUGCCCUGGGUAUGCUGCUCAUGGAGUGUUAGCUAAUGCAGUAUUAAGCCAGCAUUUUUAAAAAAAACUUAUUUUUUAAUUUUAAUUGACACAUAAUAGUUGUAUGUAUUUAUGGGAUACAAUGUGAUGUUUCAUUACAUGUAUAUAUUGUGUAAUGAUCAAAUCAGGGUAAUUAGCAUAACCAUUACAACUUCAUUACUUCUUUGUGGUGGGAACAUUCACAAUGCCUCUCUUCUAGCUAUUUGGAGAUAUACAAGAACUUAUUGUUAGCUACAGUUACCCUACUGUGCAGCAGACACCAGAGCUUAUUCUUCCUUUUAACUGUAUCUUUGUACCCGUUAACCAACAUCUCCCCAUCCUCCUCUCCCCGCUAGCCUUCCUGUCCUCUGGUAACCACAAUUCUACUCUCCACUUCUAUGAGCUCUUUAACUCCCACAUAUAAGUGAGAUCAUGCAGUAUUUCCCUUUCUGUGCCUGGCUUAUUUUGCUUUAUAUAACAUCCUCCAGGCUCAUCCAUGUUGCUGCAAAUGACAGGAUCUCAUUCUUUUUUCAUGACUGAAUAGCAUCCCAUUGUGGAUAUGCACCAUGUUUUCUCUAUCCUAUGUGUCCUUGAUGGACACAGGUUGAUUUCAUCUCUUGGCUAUUGUAAAUAGUUAAGCUAGCAUUUUUAGCAGAACAUUUGGAAAUAGUCUUUCAGGUUUAUCUUAUCUUUUAAAAGUUUUGGUGUAUGUUUUGUAAUGUGUAUAAUACAUACAGUAGUUAUGUGUAUAUAAUAAAUUUGCAUAGAUAUAUGUAUAUUGACUUUUUACAAUUAACAGUGAUGUAGUUCAGAAAAUGAGAUGCCCUGUUUGGGUGACUAUUCUGUCUCAGGUGUUAGGUUGAAUGACCAGGUGGAUAACUGUCUAAUUUCUUGCUGGUCCACAGAGACAACUGCCCUUUAUCACCUCCUCCAGAGCACAGGUUGAGGGCAGCUACAGUCACAUAGUGCUUGAGAAGCAGCCGGUGAGGCCAUUCCUGUAUCACUGGCCCUGAAAGCCAGCUCUAUGCACUUUUCUGUGCCGAACAGAUUGUCCUGGAGAGUUAGCUUUUUGUCUACUAAUCUCUAUGCUUGGAGGUCUUUGUGGAAUGGAAGUUUUCUCAUUAGCAGGCAACACAAUGAAAAACUUCCAAUAACUGCUCUUAAAGACUUUAUCUGGGCCGGGCACAGUGGCUCAUGCCUGUAAUCCCAGCACUUUGGGAGGCUGAGGCAGGCAGAUCACCUGAGGUCAGGAGUUCAAGACCAGCAUAGCCAAUAUGCUUGCCGGGUCUGUCCCACAGACCCUGGCCAAUCGACGGAUGAACGGGGUACUCAGACACAGGUAUGCAGUGGAAGAGCAGCUAGGGGACUUCCAGGCUCUAGUGGCCAAAGUACAGCAUCCUCGAGAAGCUGGAGCUGCUUGCUUUUAUUGAGUGCAGGCACAAUGCUAAAAGCCUGAAGCAAUACACAAUCUGUGGGUAAUUAACAUUUAUUGUUCCCCUUUCAGGGAACUUAUGGAACUUAUGGCGGAUGAUCACAGGUCAGCUCCUGGCCAACAUAAGUAAACAAGCCUGUUUAAGAUAAAUUUCCCUACAAUCCCUUGUACCUACUCCUUGCCCUCUGCCUCAGGGUUAGAGAACAGCUGUCUUCAGCUAUUCUCCCCCGAAACUAUGCAGAGCCUUCUGACCUUUCAGAAGGCCUGCUCCUUUCCCUAUAGUUUCUCCCACCACUCUGACCAACCUCCUAAACAUGAUGAAACCCCGUCUCUAAAAAAAUACAAAAAAUUAGCUGGGCUUGAUGGCAGGUGCCUGUAAUCCCAGCUACUCAGGAGGCUAAGACAGGAGAAUGGCUUGAACCCAGGAGCAGAGGUUGCAGUGAGCUGAGAUCGCACCAUUGCACUCCAGCCUGGGUGACUGAGCAAGACUCCAUCUCAAAAAAAAAAAAAAAAAAA